CGGGAUUUGACGUCGGGACUUUUGACCAUUUGAUUUUAUUUUGAGACAUAAGUUGAAUAUGAAAUUGAUGGCAUUGGACACUUAGGAAAAAUUGGGACCACAAUUCAUAAAAUUGGAAUUUAAAAGUCUUGCACCAAAAGCCAUGGUGGCCGUGUGGACUUGAAAUGGUCCCACACAUUGUGUGGCCAAUUUUAAUUGGUCCAACACAUGUGUGGGCCAUAAACAAAGGGAGAUAUUUGUGGAUACAAAAAAAAAAAAAAAGACUAAGUCAUCUUUCUCAUUUCCCACUUCUACACUUAGAGAAAAAUAACAAGACUUGGAGAGCCUCCACUCCCCCAUGGUUCUCGGCCACAACCAAGAAAAAUCAAGUCCCAUUUUUGCCUCUCUAAAAUUAUUUCUUUGGUAUAAACCCACUAUUUGGAGGUCCCUAAGUAGCGUGGAAGUAUUGUUUGGGUCAUUCAACCACUCAUUUUUCCCAUUUACAAACCCUAGCCUAUUGGUGGAUUGAAGAAUAAAGGUGAGUUCUAAUCUUGUUUUUGGAGUUAUAAAUGUUGUAUGCAUAUUGUAGUAUGCUAAAAUGGAUAAAAAUCAUGAAAUAUGGAAUGUUGAAGUUGGGUCUUGUGUUGGGUGUGUUGACCGUGUGAAGUAUAUGUGUGUGGUGUGGUAUUGGGUUGAUGAAUUAAUUGCUUGUAGCAUAUUGAUUGUCGUAGAGUGGAGAAGAGAAUAAAAAUCAUCGAUACAUGUAUAUGUGUAGUGUAGCCGUGUAUAUAGCCUCCAAAUGGUAGCAAAGAAUGAAUUAAUAUCGCUUAGCGUCGUAAUGGUUGUUGUGAUGAUUUGUAUGUUGGAAAUGAGAGUUAAAUGUCCCGAAUUGAUAUAGUAAGCGUUGCGGACUGAUUUGGAGAACUUUGUGCAUUUAAUGCAAUCCUUAUAUAUGAGAACCAUUAACAUAUGAAUAUGUGUAGUGUGAAUGAAUGUGAGUCAUAGAUUAUGCCGAAUAUCGCAUUAUUAUCGCUUAAGCGCUUUCGUGUCGUCGUUACGAAUUUUAGUUUGGAAUUGAGCAUUUAAUGACUUAAGAUUGAUGUUGAGAUUGUACGGGCUGAUUUGAGGGUUAUUGUGCGUUGAUGUAAUUUGUAUAUUUUAUGAAAAUGGUAUCGUUAUAUUGUGAAUUGUGAUACAAAACAUGAAUUGAAAGUCGGAAGUGUGCCCAGUGGGCUGCUCACGGGUAGGGGCUGUUUUCGGCCAAAAAUUUGGAGAAAUUGUGGAUUGUUGGAAAAAUUAUGUGAAUUUUUUAGAAUGUUCUUGAAUGUUGUUAGUAUGGGUUUGGGUUAAUAAUCGAAUGUACGAACGAUAUUGUGGCUUGAAAGUAAGCCAUUGAAUUGAAUAAUUGGAAAGUUGUCGAAUGGUGUAAAAGAGAGCUACUAUUAUUAUUUUGCCUUUCGAAUUGAUUAUCGAUGUUGCUAGGUUGGUUAUUGUGGUUGUUGUUGUUGAUUUUGAGCGAGUUAAAUUCUCGGGAUGGCCUAUUUAUAGGGGAAAUGCUGCCGAAUUUUCUGUAGAAUUUAAUGUUAGUUGGAAUAAAUGGCUUAAGUGCCUAUGUUUAAUAUUGGAUAUUCGUUGGCAUAUUUGUAGACCUUGGGGAGCCCGAGGCGUAGAUUGGAAUUUACUUUAUAUUGGCCAUCUUGGAGUGCGUACGAGGUACAGACGCACAGUUUGGUGAUCUACCCAUUUAGGACACCCUAUUCUGCUGUUUGGAGUGCUCUUCUCAUUUCAGAGCACACAUUUUGGUAUAUAUUCGUUCGCCAUGUAUAUAUGUAUUUGUUCAGGGGCACGGCGGGGCCCUGUCCCGCCAUAUGAUUCGGUUUGUCUGUUUAGAGGUCUGUAGACGUAUUUGUGGGUGUGUGUGCCUACUUCUGUACGGAUGUGUUUGCAUGACUCUAUUCGUUAUGGCAGCCUCGUCGGCGUGCAUUUUGUAUAUGUUUGUGGCAGCCUUGUCGGCGUGCAUUUGUAUAUGCGUUUUGGGCCGUUGUGCCAUUUGACAGCCUUGUCGGCUUUUGACAUAUUUGAUAGCCUUGCCGGCUUUUUGAUAUAUGUGCAUAUGUUCGGCGAUGUAUAUUCCGCCGCCUCUUCUGAUUCUGAUAUAA